GAUGAACGCUGGCGGCGUGCCUAAUACAUGCAAGUCGAGCGAACAGACGAGGAGCUUGCUCCUUCGACGUUAGCGGCGGACGGGUGAGUAACACGUAGGUAACCUACCUAUAAGACUGGGAUAACUUCGGGAAACCGGAGCUAAUACCGGAUAAUAUUUCGAACCGCAUGGUUCGAUAGUGAAAGAUGGCUUUGCUAUCACUUAUAGAUGGACCUGCGCCGUAUUAGCUAGUUGGUAAGGUAACGGCUUACCAAGGCAACGAUACGUAGCCGACCUGAGAGGGUGAUAGGCCACACUGGAACUGAGACACGGUCCAGACUCCUGAGGGAGGCAGCAGUAGGGAAUCUUCCGCAAUGGGCGAAAGCAUGACGGAGCAACGCCGCGUGAGUGAUGAAGGUCUUCGGAUCGUAAAACUCUGUUAUUAGGGAAGAACAAACGUGUAAGUAACUGUGCACGUCUUGACGGUAACUAAUCAGAAAGCCACGGCUAACUACGUG
rnacentral:rRNA from 1 species